UACAGAGGUCUCAAGCGUUGUUCGGAUUCAUUGGGCGUAAAGGGUGCGUAGGUGGCGCGGUAAGUCGGGUGUGAAAUUUCGGAGCUUAACUCCGAAACUGCAUUCGAUACUGCCGUGCUUGAGGACUGGAGAGGAGACUGGAAUUCAUGGUGUAGCAGUGAAAAUGCGUAGAGAUCAUGAGGAAGACCAGUGGCGAAGGCGGGUCUCUGGACAGUUCCUGACACUGAGACACGAAGGCCAGGGGAGCAAACGGG
rnacentral:rRNA from 1 species